CUCCCAUACCCUUUUUGCAUCUGCAUUCAUGAUUUGCUUCUGUGACCUUUUUUGGUACUGUUCUUGACUGGGUUUUAAAAAGCAAGAUUGUGCUAGCCUAGUAAAAUGAAUUAGGAAGUCAGUUUGUGUAACAUCAAAAUUAUUUUUUCCUUGAACGUUUGAUAGAACUUUUCUGUAAAUCUUCUGAGUAUAGUGUUUAUAAAAGAUUUUUUUUUUUGUCAAAUGAUUCAAUUUCUUUAUGGGUUAAAGGACUACUAUAACUCUUCAUUUUGGGUCAUAGAUUUUCUUUUAACUUCCUGUGAUCUCAACAAUACAUUUAAUUUGAUUUUUAAAAAUAUUUAAUAUUCUUGUUAUGGAAGUAUCAUUUAGAAGUACCGGUAGAAGUAUCAUUUAAUUUAUCAUAUAUCCAUAUCCUCCAUAAUCUGGGAAACAGAAGUCUUCAUUUAACCACCAUCCCUCUCCAAUUUUACUUAACGUCAUUCCAUUAAAACUGCUUUUGUCAAAAUCACCAAUACUCUCUAAUUUUCCAAAUCUAGUAUAAUUUUUCUAAUCACAUGCAAACUCUGAGCAGCAUUUAACUCAACCGACCACACUAUUCUUCUGGAAACACCCUCUUUUUCAGUUUAUAUAACAUAGUACUGAAUCUGGUUUUUCUACCAGCGUGACCAUUCUGUCUCCUUUUCUUCUUCUUGAUUUCCAAGUGUUGUUUACAGGAACUCAGUCUUUUUCUUUUCUAUCUCAGGUGAAUUUAUCAUUUUUCACUAGUGUGAAUAUGUAUACUUAUUACUUCCAAAUUUUUAUCUGAAGUACAGGCUCUCUCUUCCGAACUCCAGACUUGAAGACUUUUUUUUUGUUUUAACAUAUAGUCAUCUCAAAGUUAUCAUCUUCAAAACUGAACUCAACUACACCCAUUCAGGUCUUUCUCGUUGUAAUGAAUGAACCAUCAUUUAUCUGGUUGCUUGAUCCAGAAAGUUGGAAAUCAGCCUUUAUUUUCAUAAUUCUUUUACCUUCCACAAAUUUUUGUUAAUUCUACAUCCCAAAUAUCUUUAUCUCCUGUGCUAACCCUGGUCUGGGUGUUCACCAUUUCUUGCCCGGACUUCUGUAAUAGCCUCACAAGUAACUGGUUUCUUUACUCUCUUACAUUAGAGUGACCAGCGGUUUCUCUACUCUCUCGUAUUAGAGAGUGACCAGUGUUUUCUUUACUAUCUCUUGUGCUAGAAAGGGACCAGUGGCUAGUUCAGACUGAGUGCUCUGGGAAGGUCUCCCUAAGGAGCUGACAUUUAAGCUAAAAUCUGAAUAACAAGGAGGGACUUGCCACCCAAAGAGCAUUCUAGAUGGAGGAAACACCUUCUGUAAAGAUUAUAAGCUAAAAAAUAAAUUUCAAAUGCUUAAGAACCCUGAAGAAGGCCAGUUUGGCAAGGGGUAGAGAUUUGGUUAAAGAGUUUAGCAGGAGCCAGAUUAUACCAGCCUUCGUAAGUAAGAGCAUAAAAUGUAAACUUUAUUCUAAAUGAGUUAAGAGGCCAAUUAAAAGUGAUGCUUUGAAUUUAAGGGGUGAGAGAGAAGAAUUGAAGAUGUGGCAUAUGAGUCUAAAGUUUGGGAAAGAUGUUAAGGCUAGAGCUAAAGAUUUGAGGGUCACCAGCCUACAAAUGGUGUUUAUAACUAUAUGUUACCUAGAGAGAGAAUAUAGAUAAAGAAGAGAAAGGAGCCUACAUUGAGCCUUGGAGUACUCUAAUGUUAGAGGUGCCAGUAGAGAAAAAUGAGGAAUUGUGACCAGUGAGGAAAAGGAAAACCAGAAGUGUAUGAUGUCAUGGAAGCCAAAUGAAAAAAAAGUUUCAGGAAUGAAGAAGUGGUCACUUCUGUUGAAUGACGGACUGGAGAAGAAAUAGAAAUAGAAUCCUUCUAUUAAGGUCAGCCUUGAGUAGUUUCAAGGACAGUCAAAGGUAGUUUUUAAAUACUCUCUAGAAAUUCUUAUGAGAGGUAAACAAGUAUCUUCCACUUUUCCAAAUUUAAUUUGGAAAAUUAAAUUGGCCCAUUCUAUUUUGUAGCAGAAUUUCAGAGUGGUUGAUAACCUUUUGGACAAGAUCAGGUUUUCUUAAAGCUUACAGCUUCACAGUGUCUCUGACUAGACAGACACAAAGAAAUAAAUAUGUUCUCCUAGCAAUCAGCACAUGGAGGAACAAUUAAACUUGUCUUAUUUAGAAGAAUCCUUCUUGUAGUCAUCACUUUUGAACAGACUAUUUGCAGUCAGAGAUUAUUUAAGGUAGUACUUGGCUUUUUGAAUGUGUUUACUAUAGAAGACUUUGAGAAAUGGGCAGCAAAGAGACACUGAAAAUUAUCUUUUAAAUCCAUUUCCUGAGUAUUUGGGUCAAAUGACUUUCUGAUGUGUUGGACAGUAAUUGAUUCCAGGGAAUUGUUUUUACUGUCUGCCUAAUCACUGUCUUAUUGCUUCUGGAAUAUUGACCUCCUAUGUCCAUCUGGCUGACAGGAUCAAGCCCUGAGUCAGCCUGUAAAAACUCUUCUUGAAAUGUUUCAAAUUAAUUGUGGAUUUGCAGUGGUUUCAUUUUCAAAGGUUUAUGUUUAUUGAUAACAGAAUGAUUGCCACUACCAUCUCUCCAUUCCCGAAGAUCACAUAUUUUUAGAAGACUAGUCACCUAUUGGUGGUAGUUAAUGUUAUGACUCCAUAAGAAUUAAAAUAAGUGAAAUAUUAAUAGAUUGCUUAGAAAUUAUGUUGUUAUGGUUAGAGAUUAUGCCCUAGAGCCACUGUCAUCCCACGCUAGUCACCAGCAGAUCUCCAUGUGAAGUUCAAGACUGUUGUACAUGUUCUAUUUGUUGUCUCUUUACUCUCCUUCCUUCUACUGCCCACAUCUUCGGAACCCCUUGUCCUGCCUUAUCCCCAGGGUUUAGCACCCACACAAUCCUGAUCUUUCCAUUAGUUCCUCAUCCUCUGGAUUUUUCAUUUGUCCAAGUUUUUCAAUGUUGCAGGGCCCUGUUUUCUUCUAUGAAAUAACAAACUCACCUCUGCUGAAAUGCCACCUCUGCCCAGAGAUCAUAUUUGCACUUUAGUAUACACCAUAUCUUUACUCAAAAAAAGGAUGUAAAUUUAAUGGGAAGACUUGCCUAAGAUUAUAUCAUUAGUUGUGAAGCUAGAACUUAGAGCACUAAUAUUCACAGUCACUUACUUCACUUGUAAAUAGAGCUGGAGUUGCCUUAUUAUAUUGCAAUUUUAUGACUUAAAGCAUUGUAUUUGUCAUGAAAAAACACUUAGUAAAAACAAAUUAAUGGUUAAUAAUAAUAUUGUUCCUAUAGCUGAUUUCCUUCAAAGGUGCUGAGGAAUGGGCUAAAAUAUAUAAUCUCACUUCCCAUUUGUUAAUUCCUUUAUUUAUUUGUUUAUGCUAUGCUUCCUAUAUCUGAAUGGCUCUAUAUAUGUCUCAGUUUAAUCUAGCAAAUGUGGGGACUAGAAUGAUUUGCUUUAUUGAUAUGAUAAUGUAUUAGAAUUACAUUAAAAUAUAGAAACUUUUCUCUGUUUUUAUAAAGGGUAGGAUCGUUAUUGAUUGAGAUUUCCAGCUGAAAAGUUUGCUACUCUUUUUUUUCUUGAAGUAGAAUUUUUUAAAUGAAAUAAUUAAGCUGUCUCACCAGAAUAUUUUAAUUGAAAAAAUUAGCUUUGCAUAGAAUUCAUAGGUCUUAUUAUCAUAUAAUUUUCAUAACAUUGUGAAGAUUUCAGUCUUCUCCAAAAUAAGCAGCAAUAAAUAAUAAUCAUAUAUAUUCCUUGAUACAGCUUGGCCAACUGUAUUUCAACAUACAAAAACACACAAGGCCUACUUUACUUUUUUUUUCUCCCCUUUGAGACAGGUUUCACUCUGUCAUCCUGGCUAGAAUGCAGUGGCACAAUCACGGCUCACUGCAGCCUUGAAUUCCUGGGCUCAAGUGAUUCUUCCACCACAGCCUUCCAAACACUAAGAUUACAGGCAUGAGCCGCUGCAUCCAGCUGUACCCUACUUUCAUGAUAAAGAUAAUAUGGCAUUUAGGGCUUGUCUUGAUUAAAAGCCAAGAAUAUUAUUUGCAUUUCUUUGAAAGAAAAAGCUGAAUUGAGGAUAAAGUAGCGUCAAAAUGACGACCAAAUGGAAAGGAGAUUAUAAUUGCAGAUUUCAGAACACAGUUUAGUAUACUUAUGUAUAUUACUUCUUAAAUAAUGGUUUGAGGAGUGCAGAUUAUUCAUCCAUUUGAUUUGAGAUCUCUCCAUGCUUCAUUUUUUUUCCCUGGACAGUUAGAAUUUUCCCUCAUGGUUCAGACUCUUAAAUAUAUAUGCUCACCCUAAGUUCUUUAAAGUCCCUGAAAAGUUGCCUUCUCUAUUAGUCAUUCAUUCUUUAUUCUCCUUUUUGAUUUUUCUGUCAUCAGUGACACCUGAAUACAUUUUCCAGCCUACACUCAUUGACCAAAAAAGAAAAAACUUGGCAUCAACAUUGUUUUUAGUCAUUUAGACCAUUAUGUCCUUAUGUGGCAACUACUUUAUAAAGUAACAUGAACAUGACUCAACUUUUGGCUCUAAAAUCAGAAGAAAUAAAGAUUUGCAAUAGCAGUAUCUAUUUGUGAGCAAUAACAUUUUUAUAAAUUGAUCCAUUUCCAGACACUAUUUUUAAAGUUGGUUUAAGUGAUAGGCAUUUUUUAAGUGUUGUACCUAGCAAACUAUGAAAAGUCUCUUAUUAAUCAUUUGUAUUUCAACUUAUUUCUGAACUUAAAUCUUAUUAUAUAUAAUACUUUGCAUCCUAAUGCUAAAUCUCAACAUAAAGUAGUAGGAGCAGAGUUUCUACUCAGAAUCAGUUUUACAUGAAAUGAAAACAACCUUGAAUAAUUAAAGCAAUUUUUAAAAAGAAAAGUUAGAUGUCUAUACUCCCUGUUUUAAGACUUACUGUAUAAAAUUACAGUAAUCAAGACUAUAUAUUACUAUAGGGAUAGACAUAUGAGGGAACUUUUAAAAGUUCAUGGAAAUUGAAUUAAAAGAUAAAAAAUAUAAACCUUAUCUCUCAAUGGAAGCUCCAUCAAGGUCUAGACACUUUUGUAAGCAAUGAUACCAGCCAUUUAGUUCAACCCUAAAACACUGAGGGUCCUAGGAAUUUAACUAUGUUAAUGAAGUCUUUUUUACAUUAUUAACUGAAGACGAAUGGGUGCCUUUUAAGAUUUUUUAUGAUUAGGAAACAAAAAGAAGUCAGAAGGAGCCAAAUCAGGGCAGUAAUGUGGAUGCCUAAUGAUUUCCCAUCAAAACUCUCACAAAAUUGCCCAUGUUUGAUGAGAGGAAUGAGCAGGAGCAUGGUCAUAGUGGGGAAGGACUCUCUGGUGAAGCUUUCCCAGACAUUUUCCUGCUAAAGCUUUGGCCAAUUUUCUUAAAGUAUUCUCAAUAAGUAUUGUUCUUUGGCCCUCCAGAAAGCUAACAAGAAAAUGCCUUGAGCAUCCCAAAAACGUGUUGCCAUGACCUUUGCUCUUCACCAGUCUGCUUUUGAUUAGACUGGACCACUUCCUCCUGGUUGCCAUUGCUUUGAUUGUGCUUUGUCUUCAGCAUCAUACUGGCAAAGCCAUGUUUCACCUCUGUUACAAUUCUUUGAAGAAUUUCAUCUCACCUGUUAGUAAUUUUCAUUGAAAUCUCUGCUCUUGUCUGCAGCUCAUCUGGGCACAACAUUUUUGGCACCCAUCAAUUGGAAAGUUUGCUUAACUUUAAUUUUUCAGUCAGAAUUACAUAAGCUAAACCAAUUGAAUUGUGGUUUAGGCUGUGGUGUUGGCUAUUUGUGUUGUUAAUUAUCAGUCCUCUUCAAUUAGGGCACAAUUAAGAUGAAUUUUUUCCUUGCGAAUUUAUGUGCCUGGUCUGCUGCUGCAGGCUUCACCUUCAAUAUCAUCUCAUCCCUUCUUAAAACGAUUUGUAAGCUGCUGAUUUCUUUGGGGCAUUGUCCACAUAAACUUAUCAUAAGGCAUCAAUGAUUUCACCAUUCUUUCACCCAAGCUUCAUUAUAAAUUUAAUGUUUGUUCUUGCUUCAAUCUUUGCAGAAUUCAUAUUCUGAUAAGGAUUCUUUUCAAACUGAUGUCUUACCCUUCUUAGUCCCUCAAACUAGAUCCUGUUCAGACAUGUUAUGACGAGUUAAUUCAAGUUUAUUUUGGUGCAGACAAAAUUGAAAUCCAUACCGUUUUUCUAUAAUGUACAUUUUCCAUGAACUUUUUAAGACCCCUUAUAUAGAACAAUGGAGCAGGGUAGAGAGACCUUGCUCAACCCUCAUGUAUAUGAUCAAUUAAUUUUCAACAAAACUACCAAGGCAAUUCAAUUGGGAAAGGAAAGUCUUUCAACAAAUGCGACUGAAAAAACUGGAUAUUCUUACUGAGGAAAAGAAACAUUGACCCUUACCUCACAUCAUACAUAAGAAUUAGCUUUAGUUUCACAGCAGAAAAAUGCGGGACCCAUAAGAAUUAGCUUGAAAUGUAUUAUAAACCUAAUUAUAAAAGCUAAAACUAUAGAACUUCUAGAAGAAAAUUUUUGCAGCCUUGAGUAUGCAAAGAUUUUUUGGAUAAGACACAAAAAGCACAAACCAUUUUUUAAAAUGAUAGAUUAUACUUCCUUAAACUUAAAAAGUUUUAUUCUUUGAAAGAUACCAUUAAGAAACAAAAAGGCAAGUCAUAGAAUGGAAGCAAAUAUUAGCAAUAUGUAUUAACAAAGGACUUCAAUUCCGUAUAUAUAAAGAACUCAUAACUCAAUAAGACAAACAACCAAUUAAACAAUGAAGAAAAGAUUUCAACAGAUCAUUCAGAAAAGAAAGGAUGGCCAAUAAUCUUAUGAAGAAAAUGCUGAAUAUCAUUAGUCAUCAGAGAAAUGCAAAUUAAAACAGCAGUGAAAUACAUUACACCAAUUAGAAUGGCUGUGAGUUAAAAAUCUGAUAACGCCAACUGUUGAUGAAGAUGUAGAGCACCAGUACUCUUCUACACUGCUGUUGGGAACAUAAAAUGGUAUAACCACUUUGGAAAUCAGUUUGGCAGUGUCUUACAAAGUUAAACAUAUGUCUACCAUACAACCCAACUAUUUCAGUACUAGGGCAGUAUUUACUAUCCAAGAGAAAUAAAAACAUGUUCACACAAAGAGUUGUACAUGAAUGUUAUAGCAACCUUAUUCUCAAAAGCCAGAACCUGGAAACAACCCAAAUGUUCAUCUGCAGGUGAAUAGAUUUUAAAAAUUGCAGAUAUUCAUAUAAUAGAAUUCUACUAGCAUUACCACAGAUGUACCCAACAACAUGGAUUUAUCUCAGAAACGUUAUGCUGAGUGAAAGACAUCAGAUAUAAAAGAGUAUGCAAUUUAUAUGGAAGUCUAGAAAAUGCAGACUAAUCUAAAGUGGCAGGAAGCAGAUCUGUGGUUGUCUGGGGGUCAGGGUAGAGAUAGAAAUUGACUACAGAGAGACACAAGAAAAUUCUUGGUAACAAUGGACAUGUUCUAUAUAUUGAUUGUUGUAGUGGUAACACAGAAUUAACAUGUACCAAAACUCACCAAAUUGUAUGCUUUGAUAGGCACAGUUAUAGAUAAAUUAUACUUCAGUAAAGCUAAUAUUGUAAGUGCAAUUUGAAGUAUUUGGUGGUUUCUUUAAACCUUAUGAUUUUAUAUGAUGCACUUCAUUAUUGAUAUAGCAAAAUACUCUGCUUUUAGAAAAGAGAAAUUAACAUCAUCUCACAUCUUCUACCAUCCUCCCUACCCCACCUCUGUUUAAAGGAUCAAAGUUGUACAUAAAAUUGAUAAAAUAAGCACGUAAAAUCAUAACUAUUAAUCAUGUAAGGUUAUCAAAGAUUGAAAGGCUACAGAGCAGCCUAGUGCAAUGGGAAGCGUAGAGGAUGUUUGAAGUACUAAGACUUGGUUUCAUAUCCAAAAUCUAGCUCUAAUAGUAUAUCUUAAACUUAGAAAUGAGUAUAUUACGUAUUACCAAAAAUUAGGAUCAAGUGAAACAUGCUAAGGCACUUGCAAACACAACAAAUCCCUGUUCCUACCCACUGUAUAGUCAGAUCUUAACUGCUUGCAGAUAAAAGUUCUAAAUAAGAAUUAGUUUGAUUUGCCAAUGAACUCUGAGAGAGCAACUGGAAAUCUCAACCAGAAAUCUCCAACACCUAGCCUAGCACCUGGCAUAAAUACAUGUUAACUAAAUUAAUUUCCUAUUUCUGAACCCCAGUGUUUUUAUUGGCUCUGUUCAGAGAAAUUAAGGCACAUGGGGCCAUAGACUAUUUUCUCUAAGCUUAUGAGCCGAAACAUAAUAUGCUUACAAGAAGAGACAUUAGAACUCAUAACUUUAUACUGACUAAUGUUCAAAUACAAUUAUGUUAGGUAUCCAUUUGCUUCUGACAUCACAAAAGAACAGAUCACAAAAGACUUGGACUUAAGCUGUCUGCUUUUCCUUGCAUAAUAAGUCCCCUGGUUCAGGGAAUCCAGUCAUUAUAGAAUUUAGCCUAACUGCUUCUAAUCCAUGUAGGACUUUUUAUUAAAGAUGAAAACUAGUAAAGAAUUAACCAUGAGAGGAAAUAAAAGAUUAAUUCAAGUCAGUCAUCACCGUAUCUAUAUCUUAAGAAGUUAAUAGUUCAAAAUCUUUUUUUUUUUUUUUUUUUUUUUACUGGUAGAAGACUUCUGAAUAUACUCGCCGCUUCUGAAUAUACUCCCAGCCCCAUGGUGUUAGGGGUAGGUUGCAACUAUGUAACUCCAAGCUGACUGGGCUGGCACCAACAUCAUCAGCACUGCUAACAUCUUCCAGCAAGUUUUAGUUCAUUAAUCUUAAUGCCAUACAUGUACCCUUUCUCUAGCUAGUGGGUGGCCAGACAUAAAAACUUGCAAACAGAGGCAAAGACAUUAAUGGGAUGAUGCAAGAAGAGAGUUGGAGAUUUUUUUUUAAAUCUCCUUUGCACAUAGGAGUGACCCUAAUCAAUGCUUUUUGGUGAAUAUAAGCAGAAUACAUCUUGUUGCCUUCUCUAGAAUAGAGAACUAAGUAGAUAUGUUGCCUCUGGGUUCAAUAUUUAUUUCUGGAAACUCUUUUCAUUUUACUACCAUCCUCUAAUAAACCAAUACAUCCACUUUGUAAAAUAUAAGACUCUGGAGUUAUUAUAUGUGCUUAUAAAAACACACCUUUAGAUAAGUGGUUUUUCCAAUCUUCUGAUACUCCUCAUUUCCUUCUCAUUGAUUUUCAAGUUUCAACACAAUUUUUUAAAAAUAAGGAUUUAAACAUGAGACAGUAAACCUGGGUAAAGAACUAAGGGGUUUUGAAAUUCAAAGUUAUUAUUUCUGUUUUUAGUAGCUGUUCCACCCUUGCAAAUAUGUAUAAUAAUUAGCCACAAUUAAUAUUCCUCUUUUCCCUAAUUCAUUAUAAAAAGUAUAACUUCUAUACAAUAAUGCAUUACAUUUUUAUCAUGAGAAAUCAUAACAAUAUCUUUAUAUUUGAACCUGAACUUCAAUAUGAAUUUGUGAGAUUUUUUAUAUUAAUGUGUGUAUUUUGUAAUGUAUGUGGUAUGUGUAUAUAUAUGUUUAUUUUAGACACAUUUGACUACAUUUAUAUAUUCAUAGAGAUUUACAUAGAGGCAUUAAAAAAACAGGCAUAGUCAGUCAUGGAUGUUCAUUAUAUAUAAAGGUUAUUGGGGAUGCAAAGAUAUAAAAGAUAGAAGAACCUAGUAAUUGCCUUUAAGAUCAGAGCACAAAGCAUUAGUUUGGAUUUUACAAGGCCAGCCAGCAACAAAAGAGCAGUAAUUUAUGAGCUCAGCGUAAAAGAAUAGCAUAAUUGCAUUAAAAAUUAAUGCUAAUGAACACUAAAAUGGGGAAGGUGGUUAUGAUGAAAGUUUGUAUUCAUCUUUCCUGGUUUGAAUGAUGGCUAGUGGCUUGAUUAAUGGCUUAAUUUCUAUCAAUUAGCGGGGAAAAAUCUCCUGCGAGACAAGGGUAAAUUGAGCAUUGAAUUACAUAUCUUGCUUUUGUGUGCUAAGAAAAAAGAGCUGCGUAUCUCUGAUAUUAGCCACAGUGACAAAUGUGGUGUGCCCUGCGAUGUCUGCAUUAGCUCUCCUGACAGGCGAGUUGUGUGUGGUUAUGGGGUGUUUAGAGAUGGCUGGCAGACAGCAUUCACUGCAAGUUCCUUAGAAACAUACAACUCUUCCAUCUACAGAAUUUUAAUUAGAGUCGAUAAGGAUUCUAGAAUUAAAAUGGACAGCAAACAGCAACUGCAGAAUCUGUAUUCUGACCUAUUAAUCUGGUAUACAUCAAAUUAUAUUCCUUUUUCCUACCCUAUUAAAAUAAGAAAACUUCCAGUAGCUUUAGUUUUGUUGGGAUUAUGAAUUCUUACCACUCUAUUAAAGUGGAUUUGACUAUCAAUGUUGAUUACAUUUGCAAUAAGCAUAAGGCAGUAGUCUAUAUUUUGGGACUAUGUAGUGGUUGUUGGUUUAACCAAAUUCAUGGAAACCAUUCUUGUUUUUUGUAACAAUUGCUGAACAGUAAAUAAAGAGCAGCUUAAAGUGACAAUUUCCUACUUAGGUUGUUUGCAGGCUUAAGGGAAAAAAAUGCUAGGUUUUUAGAAACUUUUUAAAUUCAUUUACAAAGGUUUUCUAGAUGUGAUAUAUAUAUAUAUCCCUUUAAAAAUUUCAAAUGUGAAAGAUUCUGAAAAUGCACAUCUGUAAUCUAGUUCAAGAUAAUGCCAGAAGAGUAAGAUAUUAUAUAAAAUAUAUAUAUUUUAUGUAUAUAUGUAUGUGUGUGUGUAUAUAUAUAUAUAUAUAUAUCCUACAAAUAAAGCUACACUGUAUUUUACUGAAUGAGUAAGCAUUAAAAUGCAGAAUAAGGACAAUAUCAAGAAUAUUUAUUACUUAUUAUAAAUGGAUGGAGUGGGGAAAAAAUAAAUUGUUGCUUGGCAGGAGUGGGUAAAGAAUUCAUUUGACUGGAAGAUGACUAGUCACAAUUCAGGGGUUGAAUCCCAGUUGUACCACCAACUAGCCAUGUGGCUGUCACCAAGUUAUUUAUUAGCCUCAGUUUCUCAUCUUUACAAUGAGGGUAACAGUAUUAUUCCUCAUGGUCAUGAUAUUUAAAUGAGGUAAUCCAUGUGAAGUGCUCAGCGCAGAGUGCCUUAAAUUUCUAUUGCUGUUACUAUUACUUACUUCUGCUACCAGAACAGCUCAUCUGGCCUUCUAAACAAUGACUUAAAUGAAAAAUUCAUUUCUAUGACUUUCCCCACUGGAAAGGUAUUACAUAUAUCGAUGAUGAAAACAAAAAUUUCCGUGGACAUAUAUACACCAGAACAAAAUAUGUUUGCUUUAAAACAUGGUUUCUACCGCCUAACUGUCAUUUUGGGUAGUUUGUGUUAUAAGACAUCCAUUAGGAAGUGACAAGAUCUCCCAUCUCUUUAGUCACUGAAGCCUGGGUAACCAUAUGUCAGCAAAAUACCACUUUCCUAUUCAACCCAGAGCAUUCAGUGAAUCAUGGUAGACUCCAGUGCCUUGGUGGGUGGUAAAAUUCAGCUGGGCCUUUUGUGCCUUCUCAUAGAUGUGCACAGGCCUGUCCUCCACUGCUUCCACUCCUUCUCUCCUCCUCCUAUCAUUUCCACAUCCUGGCACACCACAGGUUUACCAGAAGAUGUAUGAGCUAAAGCCAUUUUCUACUUGCCUGAACUCAAGAAUAUUGCCAGCUUAUUAUAAACCAUACUGUCAGAAAUAUACAGAUUUAUAUAAGAAUUGUUUAGCCAACUUCCGUGUCUUUAGUACUGUUACUAAAUUAGCACUUUUGUUUAUGCUGUGCUUCCUGUAUCUGCUACCAUUUCUUAAGUGCUUUUAAUGCUUCCCUAUCGCUGUGUGGAGCACAGGUUAUCAUCUCCCAGAUUUUUGUGGCUUGCUUUUUCACAUCAUUUUUGCCUUCUGAAAUACCACCAUGUCAGAGAGUUCUUCUCUGGUUACCCCAUCUGAAAUAGUUUCCUUUCCUCCUUUCUAGCCCUCUAGCCUGCUCUAUUUUCCUUGAUAUUAUAUUAUUUACUUGUUUAUUAUUUGUCUCCCUCAUUAAAACAUAAGCUCAUGAAGGAAGAAACUCUCAUUCAUUUCCAAGUCCUACUAUGUGGAACAAUGCCUGGUACAUUGAAUGUGCUCACUUAUUUGAAAAGAGAGGGAUGGAGGGAGGGAGGGAAGAUGUGGGGGGGAAAUCUCUCAACCACCCUAUGAUGUUUAGGCUAUUACUAUCUCCAUGCCAUAGAUGAGAAAAUGGAGACCAACACUCUUGAACCACUUGCCCAAAGCCACACAGCUGGUACAUAGCAGAGACAGGGUUUAACCCAGAUAGCCCAAACCCAGAGCCCUUAAAACUCACCACUGAGGGUGCAGCGCACCAGCAUGGCACGUGUAUACAUAUGUAACUAACCUGCACAAUGUGCACAUG
rnacentral:lncRNA from 1 species